UAUUGGUCGAUGGGCGGGAGCCUGAACCAGCCAAGUCGCGUGAGGGAGUAAGGCCCUACGGGUCGUAAACCUCUUUUGCCGGGGAGCAGGGCGGCGGACGCGUCCGCCGUUGGAGAGGACCCGGAGAAAAGGAAUCGGCUACCUCCGUGCAAGCAGCCGCGGUAAUACGGAGGAUGCGAGCGUUAUCCGGAUUUAUUGGGUUUAAAGGGUGCGUAGGCGGGCUUUUAAGUCAGCGGUAAAAAUUCGGGGCUCAACCCCGUCCGGCCGUUGAAACUGGGGGCCUUGAGUGGGCGAGAAGAAGGCGGAAUGCGUGGUGUAGCGGUGAAAUGCAUAGAUAUCACGCAGAACCCCGAUUGCGAAGGCAGCCUUCCGGCGCCCUACUGACGCUGAGGCACGAAAGUGCGGGGAUCGAACAGG
rnacentral:rRNA from 1 species